rnacentral:rRNA from 1 species
GACGAACGCUGGCGGCGUGCUUAACACAUGCAAGUCGAACGGAAAGGCCCUGCUUUUGUGGGUUGCUCGAGUGGCGAACGGGUGAGUAACACGGGAGUAACCUGCCCUUGACUUUGGUAUAACUUCAGGAAACUGGGGCUAAUACCGGAUAGGAGCUCCUGCUGCAUGGUGGGGGUUGGAAAGUUUCGGCGGUUGGGGAUGGACUCGCGGCUUAUCAGCUUGUUGGUGGGGUAGUGGCUUACCAAGGCUUUGACGGGUAGCCGGCCUGAGAGGGUGACCGGCCAAAUUGGGACUGAGAUACGGCCCAGACUCCUACGGGAGGCAGCAGUGGGGAAUAUUGCACAAUGGGCGGAAGCCUGAUGCAGCAACGCCGCGUGCGGGAUGACGGCCUUCGGGUUGUAAACCGCUUUCGCCUGUGACGAAGCGUGAGUGACGGUAAUGGGUAAAGAAGCACCGGCUAACUACGUG